rnacentral:rRNA from 1 species
AUGUUGAGGUACGGAGAAAAUACACUCUCUCGGGAACACAAGCAGGAUAAGGAUGCGUGUGGCAUUGCAUCUUUGCAGGAUAAGAGCUUCACCUUUAUCUUGAAGACACCUCCUGCCUCAGUACUGCUCCUCAAGGCUGCAGCAUCGAAAAAGGCUCAAAGGAGCCACAGCGACCAAGUACGCACGAUCGCCCAGGAGAAGUUGCCUGACUUGAACUGCAAAACCAUCAAGUCCGCCAUGAGAAUCAUAGCGGGCACUGCCGCUAACAUGGGCAUCGAUGUUGACCCGCCGAUCCUCGUGAAGAAGAGAAGGUGGUCGAAUUGA